GACGAACGCUGGCGGCGUGCUUAACACAUGCAAGUCGAACGGAAAGGCCCUGCUUUUGUGGGGUGCUCGAGUGGCGAACGGGUGAGUAACACGUGAGUAACCUGCCCUUGACUUUGGGAUAACUUCAGGAAACUGGGGCUAAUACCGGAUAGGAGCUCCUGCUGCAUGGUGGGGGUUGGAAAGUUUCGGCGGUUGGGGAUGGACUCGCGGCUUAUCAGCUUGUUGGUGGGGUAGUGGCUUACCAAGGCUUUGACGGGUAGCCGGCCUGAGAGGGUGACCGGCCACAUUGGGACUGAGAGACGGCACAGACGCCUACGGGAGGCAGCAGGGGGGAGUAUUGCGCAAUGGGCGGAAGCCUGAUGCAGCAACGCCGCGUGCGGGAUGACGGCUUUCGGGUUGUAAACCGCUUUCGCCUGUGACGAAGCGUGAGUGACGGUAAUGGGUAAAGAAGCACCGGCUAACUACGUG
rnacentral:rRNA from 1 species